UACAGAGGUCUCAAGCGUUGUUCGGAUUCAUUGGGCGUAAAGGGUGCGUAGGUGGCGCCGUAAGUCGGGUGUGAAAUUUCGGAGCUUAACUCCGAAACUGCAUUCGAUACUGCGGUGCUUGAGGACUGGAGAGGAGACUGGAAUUCAUGGUGUAGCGGUGAAAUGCGCAGAUAUCAGGAGGAACACCGGUGGCGAAGGCGCUCUGCUGGACCAUAACUGACACUCAGGGACGAAAGCUAGGGGAGCGAAUGGG
rnacentral:rRNA from 1 species